AGCUGGGACCACAGGCAUGUGCCACCAUGCCUGGCUAAUAUUUUUCUUUUUCUUUUUUGUAGAGAUGGGGUCUCCUUGUGUCACCCAGGCUGGUCUCGAACUCCUGGGCUCAAACGAUCCUCCUGCCUCACACUCUCAAAGUGCUGGGAUUACAGAUAUAAGCCACUGCACCCAAAAAUUAUCUUGUUUUCAUCUUUCUUAAAUAUAAGUGUAACUCACAUUUAUUUCAAUGUUUAAUAUUAGAAGUGUUUGAGAGGCCGGCCAUGGUGGCUCAUGCCUGUAAUCCCAGCACUUUGAGAGUGUGAGGCAGGAGGAUGGUUUCCUCCAGCUGCAGGUUCCACGGGGACCUCCACCCCCAAUCUGAGCAAGGUCAGCUGGUAAAGGCAGCUGCUGAGAGGUGUUCCCUGUGCAGCCAUAAGCCUGAGGAGCUGGGCAAGCUCUAUAAAUAGCAGCGGUGAUUACAGAGCAGUACUCCUUUUAGAUGCUUGCACUUUAUAGCUUUCCAUUCAAAACAGUCCCAGCCCAGUGUUUAGUCUCUCUGGGGGGCAGCUGUAAAGGCCACCUUGUUUCACAGCUAAGGAGAGGUUACAAGACAAUUAAAAUAUUUUUGUCUCUUCUCUCUUUUGAUGAUUAUUCCCAUGCAGUGGUGGCCACUAGAGGAGUUGCUGCCUUCCAUUACCCACAGGGAAACCCGAGAAUACUCAAUGGCAGCCUCCAGCCCUGAAGCUGGGCUCGAAUUAGAGUUUCAGCCUUAAUCCUUGCCUUGCUUUUCAGAGAUUUACAAGAAAAAGUCAGAAAUAAUGGGGUCUUUGAAUGGCCAUAACCAGGCAACUGUAAUUUACUUUAAAGGAGUGCAUUUCCCCUUUAGGAAGAUAUAAUCGUAAAUGCUUCUUUUGCCAGAAUAAUUAUAUGCUCUGAAUUCUCUGUAUUCUCCAUCACGAUAAAUGCAGUAAUUGCACAAAUUAUAUUCUAACCACAUGGAGAUAUGGAGAUAAAGACAACAUUCCACAUUUAUGGAAUUGUAAUAAAUAAUAAUGAUAGUCUUGAUCAUAAAAAUUAUAAUUAUAUGAAAAAUAUUACUGUGAGACACCAUGCAAAUUUUUUUUUUAAUUGUCCAAAAAAGCCACGGUGAUUCCUUGCUGAUGGUGAAGGAGGCAGAGCAGGCAGAACACAGUUUCCUCUCUGGUCCCUUCUAUUAGAGCUAACCUGAUUAUUUUAAAUUGCCGGAGAAAUCAAGUCACACACCAUCAAACCAUCAGAUCUCAUGAGACCCAUUCACUAUCACAAGAACAGCACAGGAAAGACCCACCCCCAUAUUUCAAUCACCUUCUACUGGGUUCUUCCCAUAGCACGUGGGGAUUGUGGGAGUUACAAUUCAAGAUGAGAUUUGGGUGGGGACACAGCCAAACUAUAACACACCCCAAACCUAAAUUUCAGCACUGUGAAAGAGAAAUUAUGGCCUGGCAUGAUGGCUCACGCCCGUAGUCCCAACACUUUGGGAGGAUCACUUGAGGCCAGGAGUUUGAGACCUACCUGGACAACGUAAUGAGACCCUGUCUAUCCAAAAAAAAAAAAAAAAAAAAAAAAUUAGCUGGGCAUGG
rnacentral:lncRNA from 1 species